rnacentral:rRNA from 1 species
UUGGCUCAGAACGAACGCUGGCGGCAGGCCUAACACAUGCAAGUCGAACGGUAGCACAGAGAGCUUGCUCUCGGGUGACGAGUGGCGGACGGGUGAGUAAUGUCUGGGAAACUGCCUGAUGGAGGGGGAUAACUACUGGAAACGGUAGCUAAUACCGCAUAACGUCGCAAGACCAAAGAGGGGGACCUUCGGGCCUCUUGCCAUCAGAUGUGCCCAGAUGGGAUUAGCUGGUAGGCGGGGUAAUGGCCCACCUAGGCGACGAUCCCUAGCUGGUCUGAGAGGAUGACCA